CAGUCGCCGCGGUAAUACGAAGGGUGCAAGCGUUACUCGGAAUUACUGGGCGUAAAGCGUGUGUAGGUGGUUGUUUAAGUCUGUCGUGAAAGCCCUGGGCUCAACCCUGGACAGGCGGUGGAAACUACCAUGCUGGAGUACGGUAGGGGCAGAGGGAAUUUCCGGUGGAGCGGUGAAAUGCGUUGAGAUCGGAAAGAACACCAGUGGCGAAGGCGACUCUCUGGUCUGUAACUGACGCUGAGGAGCGAAAGCGUGGGGAGCGAACAGGAUUAGAUACCCGAGUAGUCCCUGUCUCUUAUAC
rnacentral:rRNA from 1 species